rnacentral:tRNA from 1 species
AUACUAUUAUUAUAAUCAGUUUGUAUUAUAUCUCCUUUCCAAGGAGAAGAUCUAGUUGAAUUAGAUAGUAUA